UCUGGAGGCCGGCCGGCCGUAAAACAGCCUAGUCGCUAUAAGGUUGACCUCGGAUCAGGUAGGAAUACCCGCUGAACUUAAGCAUAUCAAUAAGCGGAGGAAGAGAAACCAACAGGGAUUGCCUCAGUAACGGCGAGUGAAGCGGCAACAGCUCAAAUUUGAAAUCUGGCCCCCGGCCCGAGUUGUAAUUUGUAGAGGAUGCUUUGGGCGCCGGCGCCUUCCGAGUUCCCUGGAAUGGGACGCCAUAGAGGGUGAGAGCCCCGUACGGUGGGAUGUCUAGCCUAUGUAAAGCUCCUUCGACGAGUCGAGUAGUUUGGGAAUGCUGCUCAAAAUGGGAGGUAAAUUUCUUCUAAAGCUAAAUACCGGCCAGAGACCGAUAGCGCACAAGUAGAGUGAUCGAAAGAUGAAAAGCACUUUGAAAAGAGGGUCAAAAGUACGUGAAAUUGUUGAAAGGGAAGCGCUNAUGACCAGACUUGCGCCUAGNGAAUCAUCCGGCGUUUUCGCCGGUGCACUUCGCUCGGCUCAGGCCAGCAUCGGUUUUCUCAGGGCGUUAAAAACAACNGGAACGUAGCUCCUCCGGGGGUGUUAUAGCCCGCUGUAGAAUAUCCUUGGGGGGACCGAGGACCGCGCUUCGGCAAGGAUGCUGGCGUAAUGGUCAUCAGCGACCCGUCUU
rnacentral:rRNA from 1 species